rnacentral:rRNA from 1 species
AGCAGUCGCCACGGUAAUACAGAGGGUGCGAGCGUUAAUCGGAUUUACUGGGCGUAAAGCGUGCGUAGGCGGCUUCUUAAGUCGGAUGUGAAAUCCCUGAGCUUAACUUAGGAAUUGCAUUCGAUACUGGGAAGCUAGAGUAUGGGAGAGGAUGGUAGAAUUCCAGGUGUAGCGGUGAAAUGCGUAGAGAUCUGGAGGAAUACCGAUGGCGAAGGCAGCCAUCUGGCCUAAUACUGACGCUGAGGUACGAAAGCAUGGGGAGCAAACAGGAUUAGAUACCCGAGUAGUCUCUGUCUCUUAUAC